AUCUAACCAAAUUAUUGAAACCCUGUCUAAUAUCUAUCCAAGCAAAAAUAAUUACUUCACAGUCAAAACUCAAAACAUCAAAACAUUGUACGCACUAUGCUCUCUUCCUUCUUCGGCUAGGGUUCUUCCAUCUUGUCAUCUUCAACUUGCUCUCUUCCUUCUUCGGUUAGAGUUCUUAAGUUUGAUCAUGCCGCCUAAAUGUCGAUCACCUAUUUGGGAUCACUACAAAAUGGUGGAGGAAAUUGAAGGAGUGCACAUGACGAAAUGUAUCCAUUGUGGUCAAAUUUACCGUUGUCACUUGAGGAGAAAUGGGACUGAAGGUUUACAGAAACAUGUUAAGAGAUGUCUUGAAAAACAACGAAGAAUUCCCCUGAUGCUGCAAGUUACUUUUGAAGUUUAGACUUUAGACUAUGCAGUUAUAACUUAUGAUGUUGAAGUUUAAUUAUGCACUUGGUGUUGGUGAUUGUUGCUUGCUAUUUUAAUUUGAAACUUUAGACUGUUUUAACUUUAAAUGGUGUGUGAUUUGUGACUGCUGAUUUGGUAGCAAUUUUUUAAAUUUCUAAUGCACUUGGUGACAUUGGUUUUAAGCUUCAUUCUGGUAGCAGUUGCUGGUGUAAUGCCAAAUAAAAUUAGCUAGUUGCUGUUAAAAUUGUGAUGCUCCCUUUUUGUAUGUAUGUAGAACUAAGGUUGAAGUCUUUUUCCAGAUGGGUAAGUGAA